UACGAAGGGGGCUAGCGUUGUUCGGAUUUACUGGGCGUAAAGCGCAUGUAGGCGGGUCGUUAAGUUGGGGGUGAAAUCCCGAGGCUCAACCUCGGAACUGCCUUCAAAACUGGCGACCUGGACUCAAGUAGAGGCAAGUGGAAUUGCGAGUGUAGAGGUGAAAUUCGUAGAUAUUCGCAGGAACACCAGUGGCGAAGGCGACUUGCUGGACUUGUAGUGACGCUGAGACGCGAAAGCGUGGGGAGCAAACAGG
rnacentral:rRNA from 1 species